UACGAAGGGGGGCUAGCGUUGUUCGGAGUUACUGGGCGUAAAGGGCGCGUAGGCGGCGCAUCAAGUCAGGCGUGAAAGCCCUGGGCUCAACCCGGGAAUUGCGCUUGAGACUGGUGUGCUCGGAGUACGGGAGAGGAGAGUGGAAUUCCCAGUGUAGAGGUGAAAUUCGUGAGAUAUUGGGAAGAACACCGGUGGCGAAGGCGGCUCUCUGGACCGAGACU
rnacentral:rRNA from 1 species